AUGUGUCUCAGGGGCAGAGCAUGUGCUAUGUACAUAGAAGGUCCCAGGUUCAAUCCCUGGCAUCUCUG